rnacentral:tRNA from 1 species
UUAAUUAAAGCCAAAAAGCGGCCUGUCACUGUUAAUGACACCAAUGAAAAUAAAUUUUCUAAUUAAU